CGUGCGUGAUACUCUCCCGUUUCUUUUUCCCAGGGAUAUCUGUAGAUCGAUGGCUCCUACUACUGGGGCCUUUGUGUUUGUAAACCCAUAGAUGGCUUCCUUGGCCGGGGUUAGCUGAUCUACUUUGUAGCCCAUUUUUUCGAACGCAGCUAGGUAUAAUAUAUCUACCGAGCUGCCGUUGUCUACCAUAACUUUGUUCAGACUUGAGUCAUCCCCUAUAUCCACUUGUAUCCCUAGUGGAUCUUCAUGUGGGCUGACCACGUUGUCCAGAUCUUCCUCAGAGAAGCUUAUUUCCUCGCUUGGGUACGAUUUUUUCUUAGAUUUUGGUACCGUUGUAGUUUGCAUCACUUUGCGCGAGUAAUUUCUGCUUUCUCCUACUGAUCCUCCACCGAAGAUUAAAUUUAUCACCCUUCUUUUGUGGUCAGUGUCUGACUCGGGACUCCUUGAGCGUUGGUGCUUACCCUUGUUUUUUGGGUCCUUGCAGCCUUGUCGCCCCCUUUCUAUUUUGUUUAUGUAUUGUUUCAGCUUUCCUUCCUUCACUUGUGUGUCUAGGAAGGUAUCUAGCUCCCUGGGAUUUUUUAAAAGGUCUAUCCCACUUCUUGGGAUUUUUUUUUUUAAAAUUCUAUCCUAAUGUUGGGAAAAAAGUCUAUCCCAAUCCUUCGGAUUUUUUUAAAAAAAAAGUCUAUCCCAACUCUUGGGAUUUUUUUAAAAAGUCUAUCCCACUUCUUGGGAUUUUUUUUUUUUUU
rnacentral:lncRNA from 1 species